rnacentral:pre_miRNA from 1 species
UCUUCAUUCCUCGUACUCUCUCAUCGGCCAGGGUGACGAGAGUGCGUGGGAAAUGAAGAGA